UUCUACCCUUCUUCUACACAAUAUCAUCGUCAUGACCUUCCUUCCUCGACCCUGACCUAACUAUAUGAUUUGGUGCAAUUGGAAAAUUAUUUACAAUUGAAAUCUUGUAAAAAAAACUCGGCACUUGAAUUUUAGACGUGAUUAGAAGGAUCUCAUCAAAUUACCUAUCCUUCGUUUUAGGGUUUCUUCUUUCCACCACAGUCCCCUUCGCUGACGGUGGUUCAUCCACAUGCUUGACGAUUUGCAAAGACGGCGGUGCUCCGACGGUGUUCUAAUCUCCAAAACGCUCCCGUUGGAGACUCUUCGAUUCCGAUUCUGCUCCUCAAACUACAACGUGUUACCGGUCCUCAAUGCUCCAGGGUUGAAGAAAAUCACAAGAUGAUUGCACUCUCUAUUUCCUCGAUGCCCGAUGGGGAUCAGGGAGACUGUAGUUGGAAUUUGGGGGUGGGGGGUUGAUGGUCAUAGCAGUGCUGAAGCUAGUGAGAUGGCGUCAAAACUUUCGAUAAGUAUUUUGUUCUGCAUACUUAUUUUCUUCUUGAUGCCAUGUAUUUUGUUAUAUCAAAGACUUCGACAGGAACAUUGCUUCACAGACGGAACAUGUUCACGUAAACUUAUUGUAUAGAUGGAACGAGAUUAUAGGUUGGCAUUGGCAUGAACUACAAUCUGAAAGCUAUGCACUCUUUGAUAUGGAUGGAAAGCAAGUUCCACAAGAGUUGGUUAAAGAAGUUGGUAAAAUCUUCUAAACAAAUUUGCAGGAGUUGAUUGCAUUGAUUGUGCUGCUGAUGCGUUGGUUGUGAGUGUUGUGAAUGAAGGAAUUGAAGCUGUAAGAGACAUCUUAUGCCACCUGAGAAAGCCAUGGGUGAUGAUCCAUGUCAACGAUGAUAAAAAUCUUCACUUUCACAAAGCUCAAUUUGAUCCGAAGGACUGUCCAGUUGAUUGUUCGAGGUCUUGUGAAAAUGUCUGCCCUGCAAAUGCAAUCUCAUUCCAAGCGAAAUCUGCUUCGCAAGUUUUAUAUAAUACCGGAGCACCAAGAGUAAUGAAGGACGAUGUCAUAACGGAACACUGCUACGGCUGUGGUCACUGCCUUCCAGUUUGUCCCUAUGAUAAAGUUCAACAUUUUACAGUUCCACCUGAGAUAAUUAAGUCUUAGCUUUCUCUAAAUUAUUUAUUUAAUUCAAUAUUUUUAGCUGCUAUGAAUAUUGUUUUCGUAUAUUGAUCCAAGAGAUGUAACAUAUGUUAGGGAUGUUAUUACAACUGUUGAUCUGAUCAAGAGAAAUGAAGUUGAUGCUAUAGAGAUACAUACAAGUGGAAUUUAAUAUUAAUAUUCUAUGAAACACCUCUACAGCUUCAUCAUGCCUCUACAGCUUCAUCAUCCAGGACGAUGUCAUAACAGAAUGCUGCUACGGCUGUGGUCGCUGCCUUCCAGUUUGUCGCUAUGAUAAAAAUUCAUCUUGUAAUACAUACUGUAUACACUGCCGCUUACACUGGUGCACCUUGUGUCAAGAGCAUAGUGAGAUGAAAGGAAGGCUCUCGAAAAAUAGUUUUUCACAAAUGACCAUUGCAACCCUCCUCCCAUUUAAGAGAUGAAUUCUACUGACCAAAAGGAAAAUCCCGAGACAUCUUCGGCUAACAACAAUGGACACAUUACUUUGGAGAUGCAUAAAAAAGCUAUUGUCAAUCUCGAGACAUCAAGCUUGACCCAGAUAUAGAUGUCUACAUGAAUGUGUACAUCGAGAAGCUACUGUCAAUCUUAAUAUAAUUAUGUUCUAUUUGUAAGAACAAUGCAAGUAUUGACUAUGAAAAAGAUGUCCUAGACUUUUCUCCUUCAAA